GCCACCCGGAGCUAUGUGGUGCUCAGCUGGAAGCCCCCUGGCCAGCGUGGUCAUGAGGGCAUUAUGUACUUUGUGGAAAAGUGUGAGGCAGGAACAGAAAACUGGCAGCGAGUGAACACGGAGCUCCCUGUGAAGUCUCCCCGCUUUGCUCUGUUUGACUUGGCCGAGGGGAAAUCCUACUGUUUCCGUGUCCGCUGUUCUAAUUCUGCAGGAGUUGGUGAGCCCUCAGAGGCAACGGAGGUGACUGUGGUAGGGGACAAACUUGGUAAGCAACUGUAAACUUCUUUUACUUCAAGAGAAAAUUUCAAAGCAAGGAUCUAGUAUAUGUAUAUUUGGCCAGGAGUAAAAAUGGUGACAUCCUUCUUUCAUAUUAUAAAUUUACUCGAUGGCUGUACUUAACCUAUACAUUAAACAAAAAUUCAUUAUUUUUGUUUAUGAAAAGUAAACUUCUUUGGGAGUUUCAACAAUAUUGAUAAUGUGUUUUUUCUGAAGUUCAUGGACAUUUAGUUUAUCCAUGCUCCCUAACUGUUUUAAAAUUUUUUGCUUUAAAAAAUACAAUGUAGGCCAGGCGCGGUGGCUCAUGUCUGUAAUCUGAGCACUUUGGGAGGCCGAGGCAGGCAGAUCACCUGAGUCCAAGAGUUUGAGACCAGCCUGGCCAACAUGGUGAAACCCCAUCUCUACUGAAAACACAAAAAUUAGCCAGGCGUUGUGGCACAUGCCUGGUAAUUCCAGCUACUCAGGAGGCUGAGGUGGG
rnacentral:lncRNA from 1 species